rnacentral:lncRNA from 1 species
UGGAAGAAACCUACAGCAUUAAUUCAAGAUAACUUGCUUGCUAUUUGGUCAGGUAUUUCCAGUGAACUUCUAAGGAGUCAACAGUUGACAAACCAAAAGAUCCUACCAAGACCCAAUCAAGAUCCCUCCUUUACUGCAUACAUGAAGAUCUGGAGAAAUACAUUCCCCUGAGAUUUCUUGAUCCUCUAAAUUGGGAUCGAGGGAGUGUCUCUGACCUCAAGAUUGAGGUAUGACUUGAAUUGGGUCUGAGCUCCAAUUUUGUUUUGUCAAUUCACAAACAUUAUUUUCCCAGGGAGGGACAAAGAAGCAUUUUAGGCAUUUUUUUUAAAAAAGAAACAUUUUAGGAAUUAUUAACAUUUUAAAGAAGUAUUUUAAAUAUUAGAUAAAGAUUUAGGUAUCACAUAUUAUAUAAAGAAGACUUUUAGGAAUUAUUAAGUAGAAAAUUGCCUAUUUUUCUAACAACAUGUCUUAGUGUGUUCUCACACUGCUGUAAAGAGCUUCUCUGAGACCAGGUAAUUUAUAAAGGAAAGAGGUUUAAUUGACUCACAGUUCUGCAUGGCUGGGAAGGCCUCAGGAAACUUACAAUCAUGGCAGAAAGGGAAGCAGGCACCUCCUCACCAGUGGCAGGAGAAAGAGUACAAGCAGGGGAAAUGCCAGACAUUUAUAAAACCAUCAGAUCUCAUGAGAACUCACUUACUAUCAUGAAAACAGCAUGAAAGACACUUCCCCCAUAAUCCAAUCACUUCCCUCUCUCUACACAUAGGGAUUACAAUUCAUGAUGAGAUUUGGUUGGGGACACAAAGCCUAACCAUGUCACAACAUUUUGGAUCAUCUCUGUCUUUCUGUUACAAGUCUUUAAGACGAAGCCUAUAGAGAGAGGAGGUGCAUAGGCCAAGUGCGUCCAUCCCAAGUACUGAAGAAUUUAAAAGAUCAUAUCACGAUGGCAUUAUUUGGACAUAAUUUGCAUUGGGUCAGUUUUCUAAAACCUUAUACAUAUGCUCUGAGUGGAUGUAUUAAUAGUUUAUGUAUACCUUAAUAAAAUUGAUUUAAAGUAAACAUUUAAGGACUUUCCUGUGGCUUGUCUUUGUGUCCCUAGAAUUGGUUUAUUUAGUUUUGUCUGACCUGAGUUGGAGGGUUUUUUGGGCCCUGUAUUAGUCUGUUUUCAUGCUGCUGAUAAAGACAUACCUCAGACUGGGGAAUUUACAAAAGAAAGAGGUUUAUUGGUGUUACAGUUCCACAUGGCUGGGGAGGCCUCACAGUCACGGUGGAAGGCAAGGAGAAGCAAGUCACAUCUUAUGGGAUGGAAGCAGGCAAAGAGAGCUUGUGCAGGGGGACU